rnacentral:rRNA from 1 species
UACGAAGGGGGCAAGCGUUGCUCGGAAUGACUGGGCGUAAAGGGCGCGUAGGCGGUUGUAACAGUCAGAUGUGAAAUUCCUGGGCUUAACCUGGGGGCUGCAUUUGAUACGUUGCGACUAGAGUGUGAGAGAGGGUUGUGGAAUUCCCAGUGUAGAGGUGAAAUUCGUAGAUAUUGGGAAGAACACCGGUGGCGAAGGCGGCAACCUGGCUCAUGACUGACGCUGAGGCGCGAAAGCGUGGGGAGCAAAC